GGGUCGUUAGCUCAGUUGGUAGAGCAGCGGACUUUUAAUCCGUUGGUCGCAGGUUCGAAUCCUGCACGGCCUA
rfam:Thauera linaloolentis 47Lol = DSM 12138 Cont11, whole genome shotgun sequence.